AUACGGAGGGGGUUAGCGUUGUUCGGAAUUACUGGGCGUAAAGCGUACGUAGGCGGACUGGAAAGUUGGGGGUGAAAUCCCGGGGCUCAACCCCGGAACUGCCUCCAAAACUUCCAAUCUAGAGAUCGAGAGAGGUGAGUGGAAUUCCAAGUGUAGAGGUGAAAUUCGUAGAUAUUUGGAGGAACACCAGUGGCGAAGGCGGCUCACUGGCUCGAUGCUGACGCUGAGGUACGAAAGCGUGGGGAGCAAACAGGAUUAGAAACCCCAGUAGUCC
rnacentral:rRNA from 1 species